UGGGGAUUCUUCCGCAAUGGGCGAAAGCCUGACGGAGCAAUACCGCGUGAGGGAGGAAGGCUCUUGGGUUGUAAACCUCUUUUCUCAGGGAAGAAAAAAAUGACGGUACCUGAGGAAUAAGCAUCGGCUAACUCCGUGCCAGCAGCCGCGGUAAUACGGAGGAUGCAAGCGUUAUCCGGAAUGAUUGGGCGUAAAGCGUCCGCAGGUGGCUGUGUAAGUCUGCUGUUAAAGAGUCUGGCUCAACCAGAUAAAGGCAGUGGAAACUACACGGCUAGAGUGCGUUCGGGGCAGAGGGAAUUCCUGGUGUAGCGGUGAAAUGCGUAGAGAUCAGGAAGAACACCGGUGGCGAAAGCGCUCUGCUAGGCCGCAACUGACACUGAGGGACGAAAGCUAGGGGAGCGAAUGGGAUUAGAUACCCCAGUAGUC
rnacentral:rRNA from 1 species